ACUUCAUCAUGAAAAGGAGGAAGCCCAAACUGAAGUGAGUUUAAAACCUCGUCUCCAGCAGCAGGUUGCGGCCCAGCCCUCAACUGAGCACAAUGAAGAAGAGCAAGAGAAAGUCAGUUAAUGAGCAAGAUGCCCUUUGUGAUCCAGGAAAUCUUCAAAAUAUGUUGGACAAAGGAGAGUAUGCCCCUUUUGUGUCUCCUCCCAUGUUAGAGAGCAAUUUUAUUCAGGUCAACAGGAGAGGUGAAUCUAUUUACCUUCAUAACCGAGCCAACUGGGUGACUGUGGGCAUCUGUUCUUCCAGUUCCACCAAGAGGACCCCCAAUGUGAUGCUGCUGGCGCAUCUGACACCUGUUGCCCAAAAAGAUACAAAUGCCUCAGAAUCCCUGUUUGAAAGCCACCUGACAUGUCCUUCGACAGAGAAACUGGUGCUUACCAGGUUUAUCCCUCUGCAGUUUGUGACUCUUUCUGUGCAUGACGCUGAGAAUAUGCGCCUCAAAAUCAAGCUGGUGAGUGGCCGAGCCUACUACCUGCAGCUCUGUGCCCCUGCCGACAAGCAGGACACCUUAUUUUCUCAGUGGACGGACCUCAUCUCCCUCUUGAAUCAGGAGAAAGCCAAGGUUUGCAAGGUGUCAGAGGUCUCUAGUGUCUCAGAAAUCACCAACAGCACAGAAAUCACAGACUCCAUGGACAUCAUGGAUGUUGCGGCAUUCUCCGCCGUGGCGAGCCAACGUGUGUACCCAUACACAGAUGUCGUGCACGUUAUGGAGAGCAUAGAUUUCUCCAAACUCACAGAUGCCACUGAUAUUACCGAUGUCACCGAUGUUCCAGAAAAUGAGAUCCCCGAGGUCCCUGAGAUAAGAAUUGUAACGGAGGUCACGGAGCUCACAGACCACACUGAGGUCGCAAACUUCUCAGGGGUCAUGGUGGUAUUUGAAAACGAUGACAUCAUCAAGGCCAAGCAAGAGGAAAAGGAUAAAACAGAAAAUGUUCUGAAGCCUGGGUGUCUACGUGAUACAAAAAGUAAAAAUGAGGGCAGAGUAUCCCCAAAACGUGUCACCAUCUCAAACAUAACACUGACUUUCCAAGGCGAACGGUGUUUCCAAACUACUUUGACUCCUCUAGAAAGUGAAGCAAACACAUCCAAAGAAGUGUAUCAUAAAACCUCUUCAGAAAAGAUAACUGAUUUUAAAAACCGGGUUCUCAAGUCUGUCAGCUCCAGGAAUGUAAGAACUGAUUCAGCCACUUCAGGCUUGUACAGUUUUGCAAUUUUUCCCCUGAUUACCAUUUCUGUCCCCCUUUUCACUCUCCUGUAAAUCACUUUUCCCUUUCCACAUUCUUACCCUUACUGUAUUUGACCUCCAAGAAAAACAAAGCUGUCUCCCACUUUCUCAGGGGGAAUGAUACAAGAAAAGAAAGAAAAGUGAAACAGAAAAAGACAAAGUCAAUGGAAAACCAUGAAACACAAAGAUAAAUACAAGCUAUUAAACUAAACAGAAGCACAGCUCAGGAAAAGAUGAGGAAAAACACAGCAGUGUCUUCCAUGUGGCAGAAAUAAAAGCUACAACUAA